rnacentral:lncRNA from 1 species
UCCGACAGAUAUCAAGAGCGAAAAAUAUACGGACCAACUUAUUGUCUAAGCUGGCCGCUUUCUCACCUUCUGACCUACCUAGAAGAGCCUACUAUGAGGUAGUGAAGAAACCUGUUAUAGAGGAUCUGGUAGAAAUGAUGCGGGUUCAUGACGAACCCUCAUGGAUCGAUCCUCUUCUCCACUAUUUGAAAGAUGGAUUUCUACCGACUGA